GAUAACGAUGGACUCAGGACCACGUCCAUGAAGAUGGUGGACUCAGUACAAUACGAAUGAUUGAUAAUGGAUUGAGGACAACAGACAGGAAGAUGAGGACAACACACAUGAUAAUGAUGGACCUAGGACCACGUCCAUGAAGAUGGUGGACUCAGUACAAUACGAAUGAUUGAUAAUGGAUUGAGGACAACAGACAGGAAGAUGAGGACAACAC